GUUUCCCAGAGACUAUGGGUUGAGGAGGAAUUGGAAGUUUGUCGGCUUAGACCUGGUGUCAUUCCAUCAGUGUUAAACUUCCCAGCUCAUCUUGGAAGAGUACGUGCCAGAAAGACCACGACCAAGCAGCCUUGAGAUCUUAGGCAGCGUCUCCCUGAGAUCAAAGAACUACAGACUCUUCACAACCUGCUCAAACUCUUCGUACAAGACCUCACCACACGGGUCAAGAAGGUUUCCGUCUCAUUUCUACUCUGAAGCUCACCUUCUCCUGCUCAAACUGCUG
ensembl:lncRNA